rnacentral:rRNA from 1 species
CUCCUUUAGAAAAUAUUUAAAGGUAAUGCCUGCUCAAUGUAAUUAAUUAAUAGCUGCGGUAUCUUAACUGCACUAAGGUAGCAUAAUUAAUUGUCUUUUAAAUGGUGACUUGUUUGAAUGGUUUAAUGAGAAAAAUAUUUUCUUUGGGUUAAUAUGAAAUUAUAUUUUGAGGUCAAAAUACCCAAAUAUGUAAGAAAGACGAGAAGACCCUGUUGAGUUUAACAACUUUAUUUUAGGUUGUUUGAAUGGGAAAUUUAAUUUCAUAUUGAAAUUUUUUUGAUCCUCUCAUAUAGAUGGAAAAAGGAUAAAAUUACCACAGGGAUAACAGGACUAUAUUUACUGAGAGUUCUUAUCGAAGUAAGUGUUUGUUACCUCGAUGUUGAAUCGAAAUAUCUUCUUGGUGUAGCAGUCAAGAAAGUGGGUCUGUUCGACCUUUAAAAUUUC